rnacentral:rRNA from 1 species
AUUGAACGCUGGCGGCAUGCCUUACACAUGCAAGUCGAACGGUAACAGGUCUUCGGAUGCUGACGAGUGGCGAACGGGUGAGUAAUACAUCGGAACGUGCCUAGUAGUGGGGGAUAACUACUCGAAAGAGUGGCUAAUACCGCAUGAGAUCUACGGAUGAAAGCAGGGGAUCGCAAGACCUUGUGCUACUAGAGCGGCCGAUGGCAGAUUAGGUAGUUGGUGGGAUAAAAGCUUACCAAGCCGACGAUCUGUAGCUGGUCUGAGAGGACGAUCAGCCAAACUGGGACUGAGACACGGCCCAGACUCCUACGGGAGGCAGCAGAGGGGAAUUUUGGACAAUGGGCGCAAGCGUGAUCCAGCAAUGCCGCGUGCAGGAUGAAGGCCUUCGGGUUGUAAACUGCUUUUGUACGGAACGAAAAGCCCCGGGUUAAUACCCUGGGGUCAUGACGGUACCGUAAGAAUAAGCACCGGCUAACUACGUGCCAGCCGCCGCGGUAA